rnacentral:rRNA from 1 species
GAUGAACGCUGGCGGCGUGCCUAAUACAUGCAAGUCGAGCGAACGGACGAGAAGCUUGCUUCUCUGAUGUUAGCGGCGGACGGGUGAGUAACACGUGGAUAACCUACCUAUAAGACUGGGAUAACUUCGGGAAACCGUAGCUAAUACCGGAUAAUAUUUUGAACCGCAUGGUUCAAAAGUGAAAGACGGUCUUGCUGUCACUUAUAGAUGGAUCCGCGCUGCAUUAGCUAGUUGGUAAGGUAACGGCUUACCAAGGCAACGAUGCAUAGCCGACCUGAGAGGGUGAUCGGCCACACUGGAACUGAGACACCGUCCAGACUCCUACGGGAGGCAGCAGUAGGGAAUCUUCCGCAAUGGGCGAAAGCCUGACGGAGCAACGCCGCGUGAGUGAUGACGGUCUUCGGAUCGUAAAACUCUGUUAUUAGGGAAGAACAUAUGUGUAAGUAACUGUGCACAUCUUGACGGUACCUAAUCAGAAAGCCACGGCUAACUACGUG